AGUGAACGCUGGCGGUAGGCCUAACACAUGCAAGUCGAACGGCAGCACAGUAAGAGCUUGCUCUUACGGGUGGCGAGUGGCGGACGGGUGAGGAAUACAUCGGAAUCUACUUUUUCGUGGGGGAUAACGUAGGGAAACUUACGCUAAUACCGCAUACGACCCACGGGUGAAAGCAGGGGAACUUCGGACCUUGCGCGAUUGAAUGAGCCGAUGUCGGGUUAGCUAGUUGGGGGGGUAAAGGCCCACCAAGGCGACGAUCCGUAGCCGGUCUGAGAGACUGGUCAGCCACACUGGAACUGAGACACGGUCAAGACUCCUAAGGGAGGCAGCAGUCGGGAAUAUUGGACAAUGGGCGCAAGCCUGGUCCAGCCAUCCCGCGUGGGUGACGAAGGCCUUCGGGUUGUAAAGCCCUUUUGUUGGGAAAGAAAAGCAGCAGGUUAAUACCCCGCUGUUCUGACGGUACCCAAAGAAUAAGCACCGGCUAACUUCGUG
rnacentral:rRNA from 1 species